rnacentral:rRNA from 1 species
UACGUAGGGUGCGAGCGUUGUCCGGAAUUAUUGGGCGUAAAGGGCUCGUAGGCGGUUUGUCGCGUCGUCCGUGAAAACCUGCGGCUCAACUGCAGGCUGGCGGUCGAUACGGGCAGGCUGGAGUUCGGUAGGGGAGACUGGAAUUCCUGGUGUAGCGGUGAAAUGCGCAGAUAUCAGGAGGAACACCGGUGGCGAAGGCGGCUCACUGGCCCGGUUCUGACGCUGAGGUGCGAAAGCGUGGGGAGCAAACAGG